AGACAUGGCCGAUGUGGCUCAAUGUGUGGCAUCUGUUCUUAUCGGCUUAAUAUCCAAUACAGGUUGUAUCUGGAUCUAAGAUAUUAAACUUAUUUUUGCAAGUCGGCGGAGUGCUUAUAGCCUGCUUCACCCUCGUCACGGGUUGGCCCGGUAUUGCACAAUCUUUGGGAUCAGCCCAUGUAUG